ensembl:lincRNA
CUGAUAUGAACUGCAUAGGGUCCACGGGCCCCUGCAAUCACUCUGGACUAUUUGCUUUUCCAGCCUGGAGCCCUUGAAGCCAGGAGGGGAUUAGGGUGUUGGGGGUGCUUUGGCUCAGAUGCAGACUAUUGCAAACUGCAGAAACGCACAGUGACGACAUGACCAAGAAGCUUCCUACCCCUGGCCUGGGAGCAAGUGACCGUGGGCACUAAUAACAACAGGGCCUUUUAAGAUUUUGGUCCAUGGUGGAAUCUUGCUUGUUUCUCACCACCAGACCCAUUGCAUCUCCACUUCUAAGGCAGCGGCGGCGGCGGCAGCGGUGGGGAAAAGCGGAUUCCUCCCCGAGCCACACCGAGGGGAGCUCGUGGUCGAGACUUGCCGCCCUAAGCACUCUCCCAAGUCCGGCCCGCUCGGCGAGGACUUCCGUCUUCUGAGCGAACCUUGUCAAGCAAGCUGGGAUCUAUGAGUGGAAAGGUGACCAAGCCCAAAGAGGAGAAAGAUGCUUCUAAGGCCCUCGGGGAAGGCAGGAGUUUGCACCCUUCGACACGCCGCGUGCAAAAGUGAGCAAUCCUGGUGCCCUGGCGCCGCCCGCGCUGCGCUUUGGCAGCAAAGCCUCGCCAAACCCCAGGAGAACAAAGGCUGUUGUCCCCUUGCUACUAGUGCCCAGGGUGAGUGGGCCUCCGCGGGAGGGGGCAGUCCUCUUCCUCUGCUUGCUGGGGUUCAGUCACCUCGCCCGGGGCACCCGACCACUGGUCCCCCUGGAGUGCGCGCCUCUGCCCGGGGCCUCCCAUCGGCGGGUUGGGGAGGCACAGCAAAGCGGUGCUCAGGCUGGGGAGAACUAAGGCAAAGGAAGAGGACGCCCCCCCCACCCCCUGCCGGUUCUAGCCGUUGCCUUUCUGAGGACCAGGAUUAGCUCCAGAAUGUGAACUGGAGACAGCGGCCUUGGAGACCCGGGUGCGGAGAGAGGCACAGAGAGGGAAUGUGAACAGCAGUGGGGAACGGCAGGUGCCUUAGGUGCAAGUGUCCGGAAUGGCCACGAAACGGACGCUGGAGUGGGCUGGAUUAGCCCUGAGGGCCCCAAGCACACUGGACCGCAGCGACCCACGCUGAGUCCCCACUGCAGAAGUGAGGUUGCAGCGCGGGGAGUCCCAGGUUUUGUUCAUGGGGGCCCCCAAUUUCUCCCUGAUCCCUCAGGCCCCUUCACUCCCACUCCUUUCUCUAUUCCUUUUCUCCUCUCCUCCUUCUCGCCUCUCCCCAUCUCUCAGAGCUUUCUUUCCCGGGAGAUUCUAGGGCAGCACCAGCCCUCCCCCGCAGAAAGUUGUCAAAGUCUUCACCUCAAGGCCUUUCUCCUUGUUUCCAAAUGGAGCCAUUUCUUCCCCAACUAGGCGAAAGGGUGACGAAAGGUUCCGCGAGUUUGUGGAGGGGUCACAUCCGUUGUCACACGGGUCAGUGUUGCCCCCGGUCUGGCUCAAGGCUAGCAUUCAAUCUCAAGUGAAAGAGUAACUUUGGAAUGUAGAACUACAGCUGCAGGUUUCCAGAGCUCUCCGAAUUGUUGAGUCUCAAACAGGCAUUUAUAUGAUAAAGGAAAAUGACUUCGGGGUCAUUAAAUCGUUUUGUUUUCCACUGAGGGCCCAGAGAAGUAAAUGUAAUUACAGAAUGUGGCACCAGAUUGAUCUAGGCACCUCAUUCCCCUGUUGAAUCUGGGAGUAUUUCACGUUUGUUUCUGGAACUUUGGUUCCCGAUUUCCAUCAGGUGGUUACUUCAGGUUUAUUUCAGGCUGCCUUUGGGAGACCCUGAAACCAAAUUCAUUCAAAGAAAACGAGUUUCUGUUUUAGGAAUAUAAUUUGCAGUUGUCCAGGAUGGAUUAAUGCAUCUGGAAACAGGACAGGUUUCUGUAAUUCAAUAAUACAAAUUUGUACUAGACAUGUGUCAUAACAUUUUCUUGUGUUGACUCACCACAUUUGAAACCACAUACCUCUGUAGGAAUUGUGUAAUUAGCACUUGAAAUUAUGGUUGUAAUUAGAAUAAAUUAAUUUUACAAGGCAACUUUUAAGAAAGGAGUUUACUUCCCGGAGAAGAUGGGAAGCUUUAGGCUGCUAAGAGCAAGAUUGCCAUUUCAGCCUUUCUGUUCGUUGUUGAAUUUAGAGCAUUUUCAGAACAGUAAAUGUGCAGUAGCCAUUAGUAUUUUCCUCUUUCACGUAUGUGAAAAGUCUUAUGUGACUGAAUUUUAAAGACUAAUUUUAUAUUAGAGAUGAAAAGUUCAAGGUCUAUUUUAUCUUCUAGUCAAUAGUUUAUAUAUGUUGACCAUAUUUCUGAAGAGUUUUCCUUACUUACACAUUUCCUAUAUAUAGGUCAUCUUUAAUUUUUUACGCUGAAAAACUAAUUGGCAUAUUCUUUGUAAUAUAGCAAGAUAUAGG